UGAGUUGAAUGUUCAUUCAUGAGUUUAAUAGUUGGUUUAGAAUAGUAGGAAGCUUGUUAAUGUUCAAGUUAAUAUAGUGUGCUGUAAUUCGUAGAAUUACCAGUUCAGGUUCGUAUUUUGCUUUUUAGGCAAUUUACGGACAUUUUUAGCAAAAAUACUAUUUCACAAAAGUUGUUCGUAUUGAAAUUUUACUCAAGAUAGGCUCAAGAAACGCUUGAUUUGGACUUCGUAGGAGAAAGUUAUGCUCAUAUUAAGUUUCUGUUCAAAUUUCAUAUUUUAUAUAGUUGAUUUAAAACUCUACUUUUCAUAUAAUUGCUUCAUAAUGAACUUUUGAGUUACCAUAUGAACAUAUGAUUCUUUAAUGUUGAUUUUAUAUAAAGUAAGAUGAUUUUGAUUAAUUUGGUAAGGGUUUUAGUUAGACGGUUUAAGUUAGACGGUUUGACUUAGACGUUAGAACAUGAAAGUCAUUUAUAUGGUAAAAGAACAUGAUAUGUUUGUUUGAUGUUUUAUGUGAAAUUAGAAAAGGUUGAUGGCUUUGUGAACUAGAGUUAGUUGUAUCCAAGUCUUUUACUUACGAAGUACACACAUUUAUAUUGUAGAUUCCGGUUUCAUUGAGGAGCCGUAUUGACUGAGCUAGUUGGUUUGAUAUAGUUUAAAAGAUUCCGGUUUCAUUGAGGAGCCGUAUUGACUGAGCUAGUUGGUUUGAUAUAGUUUAAAAGGUACAUGAAGGCUUAGAGUCGGGGUAUGGGCGGAGAGCAACGUCCACUAGUUUUGCGUAAAUAUAUUAUAAUAGUUCUGUUCUGGUGCAUUUCUUAUAUAUAAUCAAUAUUUUGAGACUUAGGGUUGUAAAUAUUAAUCCACCUAAAUCUUUAUUCGGUUGGGUUGUAAUAGUUUAAAAUAAGCUUUAAUUUAGUUUUGGUGCAGGUAGUUCUUCCUUAGCGAUUAUUCUCGUAAUAAUCGUGGAAUAACACGUUUGGAUUUCGAGUAGUUAUACAGGAAUUUCGUUGGUAUUUGAAA